rnacentral:lncRNA from 1 species
GUUUUAAACCCGUGGGAGGAGGACGAGGCUUGCAUUCCUGCUCUGAAUAAGCCCCAAGGAGAGGGACAACCCCAACCCCAACCCCAAAACAUUCCCCCCGACACCACUUCGGGCACAGGCCCUGCUGCGAGCUGGCGACGCGGGUUGCUCCUCGGGACCUGCGGCGAUGAAAACCAGCCCAGCUCGAGUUUUAAGGAAGGAAAGAGAAGGGGAAGGGGAAGAGGAAGGAAGCUGAGGGCAGGCACCCUGCCGACCCGCCGGGCCGGCCCUGCUCUCCCCGCCUCCCUGAGGCGCGGCCUGGCCCGGCCUGCUGCGACAGCGGCGGCGGCGGCGGCGGGGAGGCCGGGCGGCUCCAUGGCUUUCAUCCGCAGGAGGCGGCUGGAGCAGGAGCUGUACUCCAAGGAGAGGCUGCUGCUGAGCUGGGUGGCCUGCUUGUUCGUCCCUGGCAGUGUACUUCUGAGGACUGUACUUCAGUAUUGGGUCAAGUGAUUGUCCAAGGUGUGUCCAGUCAACCACCUGAAACUGUUCUGCCCCAGUAGUUUCCCAGCGUGUGCAAUGAAGUGAUGGAAAUGGAAACAAUUCAAUCACAGAUGAAGAAUCUAAAGCAGGAUCAAUUAGCUGCUGUUUCUUCUGGAUAAUGUAAAUGUGUUUUUUUUUGUUUUUUUUUUUUUUCUGAGAUGCUGGUCCCUGCAUGCUUGUUCCUGUACCUGAUUUGGUGCUUCAGGUGAUAGAUGACAUUGGUGCAUAAAAUAAAUUGUGGUUUUGUUUUUUUUUAUGUUGUUGCUGUCGGGUUGGAUUUUGGUUCUCUCCCUGCUGAAUCUCACUUGGUCUUUGAGAACUGAGCCCGAUGUAACACACUUUCUACUUGGGGGAUAUUUUACAGCAUCUUGGCAGGACUUACAAACCUCAAGUUGUAGUUGGUAAAUGAAGAGUUCAGUGUAUGGCUUUGUAUUUUACUUGGAACAAUGCUAGGAAUGUUUGGGUGCAAUUUGGGUUCCCAAACCUUGUUUAUAGGAGAUGACCUCACAUGAGGUUAGGUUUUGCAAGUGUUCUCCUGCUGCUUAGUUUUUGUAUGCGUCUAGGGUGUGUUCUUGACUCAUAUUCCUCAGCCCUUUUCUGAGUGGCAAUUAUGUUGGAGCUUUUUGAAAAAGGCAAAAAUGAGCAAGACAAUACUCUUCAAAAAAAAAAAAUAAAAAAUAAAAGAGCAAUCAGAGUCUUUCACUUCUUUGUUUGUGUACCAGCCUUACCUGCGGUACUCUUUCUUCUUCCUGCUACAGAUUAAGUUCUGUUUGUCUUGGCAAGGUGCUUGCCUUCUCCUUUCCCCUUCCUCCUUUUUUUUUUCCCCUGAAGCUACUUUUGGAACCAAUACUGAUUCUCAUCACAAGGGAACACCUUCCACAUCACUUCCAUUUGAUUUUUUUUUCGAUUUUCUUAAUGCCACUCUUCUGGGACAACACAUAAACAGGAAUAUGAAAAAGCCUUCAAGCAAAUUUGUAUUAGCAUGCUUUAAUUUACACUUCAGUGUAGGUACUUAGAUUUUAAGCAACAGCUAUUAAAAGAUUGAUCCUCGUGAGUAAAGAGUUAAUGGACAAACACCAGUGGAUGCGGAGUGGGUAUCAAAGAUGUUUCGACAGAAACGCUAUUAGGGCCUUCAUUGAAGUUUCUUCUUUUUCUUCCUCCAAGCUGCUUCUGCUGUUGGUCUCAGAUACAGCUCAGAUUUAAUGCAAACCCUGUAACAGCUCAGAUGCCCUUCCACCUGUGUUAAAGCUCGAGGCUUUGCCCUGCUAGCCGUGGAGGCUGUCGAUUCAUUUCAUCCUGGAAGGGGCACUGCUGCCUUCUCACUCUGACAGCAGGGCUGCUGCCCUCUGAGCAGAAAGGUCUCAGUUUCUGGCCACGGUGUUCUUGCCCCCUGACCCCUUCAUGCUGUACAGUCUGUGUUACUUGUUGUUCCCCUCCAUGAAUCUCAUUCAGGUUAUUAAACCUGAGCAAAACUAUCCUGAGGGAACUCAGCAGCUCCGAGUGGAAGCUGGUGUUCCUCUCUGUCUGCUAAUUUGAUGGCUUCUGCAGUUUGAAGUGAGUUGUCUCCUGAACUGUAAGUGGUCUCUGAGGAAGCUGGUAGGCUGGGUUGGACAAGAGAAGCUGUUAAAGCCUUUUUCCUUCAGAUUUUGAAAUGAUCAAAUGCAUUAGGCACAUAUCAUUUUCUGAGAAGCUUUCUUGAAAGCUUACUUACUGUUGGCAAGACUUUAUUCAAGGAUAAAGACCAGACUGCUAAGAAGCUAAAACAUAAGGCAUUGAGCAUUCCCCCAUACAGAUAUUUUAACAGCAUCUGAGCUUUCUUUGAAAAUCUUGUCUGUUUUGUUCCUCUCUGUCACUUUCAAAUCAAUAUAUCGCUUUUUAAAAAUAGUUUAAUGUGUCGAGGUCAAUGUAUGAGGAAAAAAUUAUAAAUUGUAUCUGAAGAAAUGCCUGAAGAAAUUUCUGAAGAAAUGUGGCUUACUGACCUUAUCAAUCUGUUGUAAGUAACUAAAUAGCCUGGUGACCACAAAAAUUGUGAAUGUUAAGCCUGUGAAAU